AAGUUAACUGACCAGUCGGAUCAGGGUAUUCAAGUACAUUGUGUUAUAAAUGGUUAAUGUGUUUUGUGGAGCUCUGCUACUGGUCUAGAGCGCUCGCUCUGCGACAGGUGCAGAGCGAGCUGGCGCUCUCCGUGGGAGCGGUUCAGGAGCAGGGUGUCAUCCCAAUACACACACGGGUCAGGGUCUGCAGCUGGGUCACGGGUUAAUGACAAACCAAGAACACAAGGAAGUAGAGACCCCCCACACACACACACACACACACCAGGGUGAAACCCAUAUCAGGACAAAGUAACACAAACACACACAAGGUAAAACCCAUAUCAGAACAAGGUAACACAAACACACACAACCCAUAUCAGAACAAGGUAACACAAACACACACAACCCAUAUCAGAACAAGGUAACACAAACCCACACAAGGUAAAACCCAUAUCAGAACAGGUUAACACACACACACACACACACACACACACUAUCAGAAAAGGUAAAACCCACAUCAGAACAGGGUACCCCACACACACUAAGAGACUAAACACACGGCGCUACUCAGACCGUGCACGCCCCUUCUGCUGGUCAGGACGUCUGCGUGGGCCCAGACGUGCGGCCCUCCCAGAUGUCAGCAGCGGGUCACCCUAGCAACUCGUGCACGCGCUCCGUUUGGUUUUGUUUCAGCCAGAUACCAGAAUAAAGUGAAAGCACCCGGCCGGCUCAGAGCCCUGAGCCACCGCCGGUUGGGAAACACCGACGGCUCCCGGUGGGGGGGGAGGCCCCCGUGGUCAGACACCUCGGCCCCCCCCGCCCCCGCGUCGGUGGGGGUGGCCCCGUGGUCAGACACCCCGGCCCUCCGUCAGGUUCUUCCCGACAGGAAGCCGAAGGAGCAGAACUUCCAGGUCAGCACUUCCUAUCUCCUUACACAGCGCUUCCUGUUUAGGGGCGGGGUCAGAGACGGCCUCCUUUAACCCUCAGACACUCAGGGUGGUGUUGGUGGGUUACCAGAGAGACUGGGGAGGGGAGAGGUGGGGGCAUGCAGGUAAACAACACACACACACACACACACACACACACACACACACACACACACACACACACACACACACACACACACACAGACACACACACACACACACACACACACAACACACACACACCUGCCUGUGGUGCAAUAAGAACCAACCAGAGACGAUUCUAAUCACGGGAAAGAACGACUGCAGCCAACACCUUGCCGUGUAUAAAAGUGUAGCAUGAUGUUCAACCUAUUCAACCUUAGCAGGUAGCCCUGGCAUAUAUCCAUAGCAUGUAGCCCUAGCCUACAACCUUAGCACGUAGCCCUGGCAUGGAACCAUAGCAUGUAGCCCUAGCAUAAAACCGUAGAAGGUAGCCCUUGCAUUCAACAUUAGCACGUUGUCCUAUCACACAACCUUGCAACCCUAUCGCACAACCGUAGCAUGAAGCUACACUUGUAGGUAGAAGACUAUGGGCUGAGGCUAGCACCGCGGGCGUGUUGGGACACAGCGCUACGUUCCACCGGAGGCUAGCUCUGACAGAGAGAAUUCCUUAGUGAGAGCUUAGCCCACCUCAGUGCAUCCCCUCCGGAGCCCUGGGGCAACAUCCACUAAUAUCAGAGCCGUUAAUCAUCCCAGAAGGGGGUUCUGGUUGCCAAAGCAGAAAGUACAGCAGGACAGUAAGAUUAUAGAAUUAUAGGAAAAUUAACAUAUGACGACGAGAUCUAUUUUUAAGUAUUGGUCUUCAUUAAGCUGUGACUGACAGCAGUAAUUAAGGCGCAGGUAGGUGCUCUGAUUCAGAGUGGCCCAGGGACCAGGAGAGGACAGUAUAGCGCCCACCCAAGCACCGCGGUAGACUUGGGCGCCAAACCCAAAACCUUACAGAUGGGGUCCGACACCCGAAACCACUACACCAACCAGCCCCCACCUUAACUGCCACCCUCGAUGUAAGAGGAGAACCAGGAGGGAAACGAGGAUUUAAAACCGGAUGAGCAUGCUGUUUCAAAAGUUUGUUUAAAAGAUGUUUGGACGCGUACUUUCUGCAUCCCCCUAGUGUUGAGAGACCGAUUCAUACUGCUUUAGUCCUUAACUCCUCGUCAUGACUGUCCCCACUGAAGCACCAUCGUGUUUAGAAGACACCCUGCAUGCCUGGCUGCACACAGACGUAGGAACUACAGAAGUGGAGUAGAUUGGAUCUAUAACCCGUUUCACAGCAUAGCAAGGAAGCUGAAUAACAGGCUAGUCACUCUAAAAACACUCAGGGAGCUGGGGGGAGACACCGGGCUGGGAGAUUGCCGAGCCCAACGGGUUAUACUCCUCCAUGCUUCCACACAGGACACACGCACAGAGAUGAACCCCCGUCAGCAGCAGCAGCAACAUACUGUGCUGCUCCUCAUUUUACAGCAUCACUCAUCACAGGCGCACGACCCUGGCUGGGAGACACACAGGCAGGUCAACCCGGCUGUAGGGAAGGGCAGGCCCUGCGUCUGGCUCCCAGCCCUGACUGUAAAGCCCGGGCUGAACGGACCGAGGGGGAGACUAGGCCCUGAGGCAAGGGGGCAUAACAGGUCCCGGUCUCUGGGUCGGGAGGGGGGGGAGACGGGAUGGAAGGGGGAUGUGAUGAUUCGGAGGGAGGGGGAAAGCUACAUCACACACGUUAGAAUCCAAGCACAGGCUGACCGCGCACCAAGGCUCGUGACACAGUUUAAAUGAGCGUGCGUGCGCGCCGGCGCACUCGAGUGUCACACUUUACGGUGGCCCUACGAGGAGACAACCAGUGUGAACCAGGAACAAUGUGGUCACCGUUCACACCACAAUCUGACGCGGUUCCGAGCACCUCGGAAAUGUUGAAGCUCUGUAGGCAGAGGAGACAAACAUUGAGUCCGCGGCCACGUCAACAGAGACUAAACACGCCAUGGCUGUGAGUGACAGCCAGGCAACUUAACACAACAACUACCGUUGUUUUUAUAGUGUAUGUGCGACACAUUGAGGCACAGGAGUGACUUGUCCCAGGUUCUGCUGUCCUGUAAAUACGCUCCCAUGCAGACGACGUGCUGCUCUUUCUACUCAACAGUCAACACUCAGCUGAGCGAGGAGUAUUCUGGUUAAUUUAAAGUGAGCAGUGAAUGUUUGUACACCAGGAAACCAAUAAAUUAGCUUUAACCCAGAACUGUGGGAACGGGUGUGUGCUUGUGCGUUUGUACGUGUGUGAGAGAGUGUAGAGUGUGUGUGUGAAGCAGUUACUGACUGUAUGUUAACCAAAGGGGGGGUUCCCGACAGACCAAGUAGCAUAGUAGCAAUAGCAUACUGUAUAUCAGGAGGUGAAGGGAGGAGGGCGGAGGGCGGAGAUGUGGUCCGUGUGGUGGAGCAGGGUGUGGGGACCUCGGCUGUCAAACGGAAAGGCAAAAGGGUGAGGGGUCUCCUGUCCGGUCCGUCGGUGAGGUCGGCGUGGCUACCGCUCCCGGCUUCUCCCGCUCAGUCCGCGACUGUAUCCCACUCGGCUCCCUCCCGGCACGAGCCACAUGGCUGAGAGAGCCCCGAACGACUGAAGAAACAGGCUAUUUAAGCCCUGCUUCUACACCUGUUCCUGUGCUUC
ensembl:lncRNA